UUUUAUAAAAGUAUAAUUUAUUUUGGGCUAAACGUUUAGUAAUUGUUUGGCCUCAUUUAAACAAUAGUAUGUAAACAAUCCUUAUAUACUCCUAGUGGACUCAUCCAUCUCAUGUAAGUAAGCCCAAUUCUUUUAUUUGAACCCUUGUGGGUCAAAUAUUUCAUGACUAAAGUCGAUUUAUUUAUUAAGCCCAAAAUUUAAUCUAUACUCUCUACUCUAUAAAUAUCCCCCCAAACCCCAAAAUUUUCCCACACAAAGAGACUCAAAAGUCAGAUUUUUCGAGGUAAGUGUUAUUUUCUUUGUUUUUCCUUAUUUUAUUUUCUUUGUUUUCUUUUCUUAAUUUUACUUUUCUUUUCUUCUUUUUCUUGUUCUUUCUUUUCUUUUCUUUGCUGCUCCUUGCUUCAUGCGUGAAUUCUCACGCAUGGGAGUGCCGGCUCCCCUUGCCACAUCACCACCUCGUUGCCACGUCACCACCUCCGCACCCUCCGCCGGCUGCCACCCACGGUGGAGACUAUAAGUUGAGUAAUUUUUAGCAUUGUGGCUAGUUGGAAAGAUGAUUUAAGUGGGGACAAGUAGAGAGAAGCUUUCAGGUGAUGAAGCAUAUCAAACAUGAUAGGGUUGAGCGAAGAGGGUUACAUGUUUCUUUGUUUAUUAUUUAUUGUAUUAAAUUAUUUAUGUAAGUGUUGACACUAACAUUAGUUAAUGUUUAUAUUUACUUUGGUUUUGAAGGGCCUUUAAUGGUUCCAAGUUAUUGUUUUAGUGUAAGUUGGUUUUAAAAUUUGAGUUGAUUUUAUUAAACUUUAUUUCAUUGAAUUUCUUACAAAAAAAGAGAUAGU